rnacentral:tRNA from 1 species
AACAUAAUAGCUUACAAAUUAAAGUUUAGAGUUGAAGUUUCUAAGAUGGAGAAUUUUUUCUCCUUAUGUUA